rnacentral:tRNA from 1 species
AGGAUAAUAGUUUAAAAACAACAUUUAAUUUGCACUUAAAAAAUAUUGAAUAAUCAAUUUAUCUUA